rnacentral:rRNA from 1 species
UACGUAGGAGGCGAGCGUUGUCCGGAGUUACUGGGCGUAAAGCGCACGCAGGCGUCAGAUCAGUCUGGAGUGACAGUCGUCGGCUUAACCGACGAAGUGUUCUGGAAACUGUCUGACUUGAGGGCUUCAGAGGGACACGGAAUUCCGGGUGGAGUGGUGAAAUGCGUAGAUAUCCGGAGGAACACCAAUGGCGAAGGCAGUGUCCUGGGAAGUACCUGACGCUC